GUCCUCACUUCAACUGCACGUAUACUAAAACUGGAACAAUACAGAGAACAUGAACUUAGCUUAGCCCCUACCCUAGGAUGGCAUGCAAAUUCAUUAAAUGAUUUGAGAUAGA
ensembl:snRNA U6 U6 spliceosomal RNA